GUGAUCAAGCUACUAAGAGCAUGUGGUGGAUGCCUCGGCGUCAGAAGGCGACGAAGGACGUGGAUACCUGCGAUAAGCCCAGGGGAGCUGGAAUCAAGCAUUGAUCCUGGGAUGUCCGAAUGGGGAAACCCGUUCUGUACGGGCAACCGUGCAGUUCAUUCAUGACUGAAUGCAUAGGUCAUGGAAGCGAACGUGGGGAACUGAAACAUCUAAGUACCCACAGGAAUAGAAAGAAACCUCGAUUCCGUAAGUAGCGGCGAGCGAAACCGGAAUAGCCCAAACCAUCCUUCGGGAUGGGGUUGUGGACACCGUUAUCUGAGCCUGGCCGACAGCGAAUGACCUGGGAAGGUCAGCCAUAGAAGGUGAUAGCCCUGUAGUUGUCAGCGAAAGCUUGGUAGGUGCACCAGAGUAGCGUGGAGCUCGUGAAACUCCGCGUGAAGCUGGGGGGACCACCCCCCAAGGCUAAAUACUCCCUGACGACCGAUAGUGAACCAGUAAGGUGACUGAAUGGUGAAAAGCACCCCUAUAAGGGGAAUGAAAAGUACCUGAAACCACAUGCUUACAAACUGUCGUAGCCCCUUGAGGGUGACGGCGUGCCUUUUGCAUAAUGAGCCAGCGAGUUAGCCUCUACGGCAAGGUUAAGUCCUUCCGGGACGUAGCCGAAGCGAAAGCGAGUCUGAAUAGGGCGACUAGUCGUAGGGGUUAGACGCGAAACCUUGUGAUCUACCCAUGGCCAGGUUGAAGGGAAGGUAAAACUUCCUGGAGGACCGAACCCGUUAACGUUGAAAAGUUAUGGGAUGAGCUGUGGGGAGGACUUAAAGUGUUAUCAAACUGGGAGAUAUCUCGUUCUCCUCGAAAUAGUUUUUGGGCUAGCCUCGCGUUACAGCAUACGGGGGUAGAGCUACUGGAUGGGGCUGGGGGGCUACCCGCCUACCCACUCCAACCAAACUCCGAAUACCGUAUGCCUUUGUCGCGGGAGUCAGACUACGGGUGAUAACAUCCGUGGUCGAAAGGGAAACAACCCAGACCGCCAGCUAAGGUCCCCAAUCACACCUUAGUUCGUAAGGAAGUCAAGUUGCAAAGACAACCAGGAUGUUGGCUUAGAAGCAGCCACUCAUUUAAACAACGCGUAAUAGCGGACUGGUCAAGGAACUUGGCGCCGAAAAUGAUCGGGAAUAAGGUGUGAACCGAAGCUGCGGACUUGUACUUGUACAAGUGGUAGAGGAGCGUUCCUGUCGGCAACGAAGCGAAACGGCGACGUUUCGUGGAGCGGCAGGAAGUGCUUAUGCUGGCUUGAGUAACGAUAAACCAGGUGAAAAUCCUGGUCGCCGAAAGCCGAAGGUUUCCUGGGGAAGGUAAAUCCGCCCAGGGUUAGUCGGAUCCUAACACGAGGCCGAAAGGCGUAGUGGAUGGACAGCAGGUUAAUAUUCCUGCACUCGGUUGUGCGGUUGAAGCGGCGUGACGGAUCUCUGAAAUCAGUCGACCGACCAGUUGUGGUCGUCCCGCAAGGGCGAGGGCUUAGAUCCCGAAGCUGGUGGAUGAGGUUCCAAGAAAAUCCGUCCGUGGACAAUCAGCCGAUCCGUACCAAAACCGACACAGGUAGGCGUGGCGAAUAGCCUCAGGCGCUCGAGAAAACGGUUGUUAAGGAACUAGGCAAAAUCACCCCGUACGUUCGCAAGAAGGGGUCCCUCCCGGCUUCGGCCGGAGGGCGCAGAGAAGAGGCUCUGGGGACUGUUUAUCAAAAACACAGGACUGUGCGAACUCGCAAGAGGAUGUAUACAGUCUGACGCCUGCCCAAUGCCUGAAUGUUAAGGAAGCAGGUUAGCUUCGGCGAAGCUUGCAACUGAAGCACAGGUCAAUGGCGGCCGUAACUAUGACGGUCCUAAGGUAGCGAAGUUCCUUGUCGGGUAAGUUCCGACGCGCAUGAAUGGCGUAACCACUGGAGCACUGUCUCAACAACCGACUCGGUGAAAUAGAAGUGCCGGUGAAGAUACCGGCUACCCGCGGCAGGACGGAAAGACCCCGUGGACCUUUACUGUAGGCUUGUAUUGGCCACGAUAAUGUACUGCGUAGGAUAGGUGGGAGACGCUGAAGCGCCGGUUCUGGCCGGUGUGGAGUCACCGUUGAAAUACCACCCUGUAUAUUGUUGUGACCUAACUUGGUUCCGUGAAUCCGGGCCAGGGACCGUGCUAGCUGGGCAGUUUGACUGGGGCGGUCUCCUCCUAAAAUGUAACGGAGGAGCGCAAUGGUUGGUUCAAUACGGUUGGAAACCGUAUGACGAGUGUAAGGGCACAAGCCAGCUUUACUGCGAGACAUACCCGUCGAGCAGUCACGAAAGUGGGCCCUAGUGAUCCGGCAGUUCCGAGUGGAAGGGCUGUCGCUCAACGGAUAAAAGGUACCCCGGGGAUAACAGGCUGAUCUCCCCCGAGCGUCCAUAGCGGCGGGGAGGUUUGGCACCUCGAUGUCGGCUCAUCGCAUCCUGGGGCUGUAGGCGGUCCCAAGGGUUCGGCUGUUCGCCGAUUAAAGCGGUACGCGAGCUGGGUUCAGACCGGCGUGAGCCAGGUCGGUCCCUAUCCGCCGUGGGCGUAGCAUUCCUGAGAGAAUUCAACCAUAGUACGAGAGGAUUUGGUUGGACGUACCCCUGGUGCGCCGGUUGGUCUGCUAAGGCCAUCGCCGGGUAGCUAAGUACGGCAGGGAUAACCGCUGAAAGCAUCUAAGCGGGAAGCCCCCCUCAAGAUUAGGAAUGCAUGGACUUUGUCCGAAAGACCCCGGGUAGACCACCCGGUUGAUAGGCCGCAGCUGUAAGGGUCGAAAUACCCUCAGGUGAGCGGUACUAACGGUCGACUGCUUGUUCAC
rnacentral:rRNA from 1 species